CACAGUGGCUGGGAAGGCAGGCGAACCCGUCUAUCAGCUUCUCCCUGGUGGGAUUCUUGCGGGGGCAGGGAUUGAGUCAAACCUUGGAAAUGACGUCAUUCUGAACUCAUCUGCCUUUAUCCAGAAGACUACCAAAGCAAACCAGAGGACCAGAGAACAGCAGCUGCUCUGGACAAAGAGGGGAGGACACCCACACCCACACACCAAGUUCUGGUUGACUUCUACAGCAGAAGGAGCAGGAGACACCAGAAGCUUCAGGCCCAAAGCAACAGGGCCCACCAGUCAUAGACAGAACUGUCUGAAGCUGUGAGCCCAAAGAAAUCCCUUCAUUUUGUUUUCCCGGGACUCUGUCACACUGAUGAAAAGUUCUAUGUUCUAGGCUUUAGUAAGAAGGCCUUCGGAAUCUCCAGAGAAACCAAACAUGUAUGUGGGGAGAAGUAUGCUUAGUUCGUGUGAUUAUGGAGUCUGACAAGUUCGAAAUCUUCAGUGAGAGCUGGCUGGCUAUAUUCAUGAAGAAUCGAUGCCAUACUGUCUGCCUGGCAUUAGAGCCCUUUGG
ensembl:processed_transcript